UACGUAGGGGGCAAGCGUUGUCCGGAAUCAUUGGGCGUAAGAGCGCGUAGGCGGCCCUGUAAGUCCGCUGUGAAAGUCAAGGGCUCAACCCUUGGAUGCCGGUGGAUACUGCAGGGCUAGAGUCCGGAAGAGGCGAGUGGAAUUCCUGGUGUAGCGGUGAAAUGCGCAGAUAUCAGGAGGAACACCGAUGGCGAAGGCAGCUCGCUGGGACGGUACUGACGCUGAGGCGCGAAA
rnacentral:rRNA from 1 species